GACGAACGCUGGCGGCGUGCUUAACACAUGCAAGUCGAACGGUAAGGCCCUUCGGGGUACACGAGUGGCGAACGGGUGAGUAACACGUUGGUGAACUGCCCUGCCCUUCGGGAUAAGCCUGGGAAACUGGGUCUAAUACCGGAUAGGACCACUGCCUGCAUGGGUGGUGGUGGAAAGCUUUUGCGGUGUGGGAUGGGCCCGCGGCCUAUCCGCUUGUUGGUGGGGUGAUGGCCUACCAAGGCGACGACGGGGAGCCGGCCUGAGAGGGUGACCGGCCACGCUGGGACUGAGAUACGGCCCAGACUCCUACGGGAGGCAGCAGUGGGGAAUAUUGCACAAUGGGCGCAAGCCUGAUGCAGCGACGCCGCGUGAGGGAUGACGGCCUUCGGGUUGUAAACCUCUUUCAGCACCGACGAAGCGCAAGUGACGGUAGGUGCAGAAGAAGGACCGGCCAACUACGUGCCAGCCGCCGCAGUAA
rnacentral:rRNA from 1 species